rnacentral:ncRNA from 2 species
CAAAAGGAAAACGGGUGCUUAAGGGACGUUACGCCUUGAGCUGAGAUGGGUCACUAUCAGUUUUGCAUCGUAAGGCCCAAACCGUAGGAACCUGAUCCGGAUAAUGCCGGCGAUAGGGAGAAAACAUGAAUACAUCU